CUGAUAUACACGCGUAAAAAUUGAUCAGGUUGUUGCAACAUUGUUCGCUGAACAACGUUGCAACAAUGAGGUUAUCAUGGCUGAACAACGUUGUUCAAGCGACAAUCGUUAACAACAUUGUUCCAACAACUUGUUCACGCUUGAUGAACGAACAAUGGUUGUUGCAACAUGAUGGAACAAGCGUCCGACAAGGUUGAUGAAACAUGCUUGAUAAAUGUUGUCGGAACAAUGUUGUUCAGCGUUGUUCAUUCAUCAGGCGUCAACAAUAUUGUUCGAACAAGCGUGAACAACAUUGAUGAAAGAACAAGUUGUUUUUAGUUGUUCGAACAACCGUGAACAGCAUUGUUAUAAAUAGACGGUAAAAUAAUGAUUUGAACAACACGAAAACGUGUUUUUAUUGGUUGUUGCGAACCGCUGGGAUGCAAAACGGACGAAUGCCACGAAUAUCACGAGAGCAAGAAAUCAAACGGGCUUUUACAGCAAAAUAAAUGUCGUUUAAACUUUGUGGUUUUUUCUGAAGAUUGAGCAUUUGAGGGGAAAAUACUGAAGAAAAUAACUUGGUAAGUGUCUUGUUUUGAGGUAAGGUUAGUUGUAAAAGCUUAAAACAACGCGACCUUUUAAUUUUAGUCAUUUUCAUAGUACACGAAGAAAUGCACACGCACAAAGUUUAUAGUACUUUUAUAUAGGUAUUGCAUUUUGAUAUUUUUCUCGAUAUUUUCAGUAUAUAUGAAACAAGAAACCACGGUCAUACUGUAAUAAAAGCCAUAAUAGAAACAAAACAUUUAAUUCUCAAAAUAUUGUUGAAAUUUUUCCAAUUGCACUUUAAAUUUCUGUCAGAGUCUUUUUAACUUUGAAUAUGUCAAAAUCAUAUCAUAUGUCCUUCGCCCCUUCCGUCCCUAUUGUUGUUUGUAAUUUUGAUCACUGCUAUAUAUAAACAAUUCCUAUUGUGUUUUAACAAGGUCAACCAAAUAUUUGGUCAGUUUACACACCAAGAAUGAUGUAUUUACUGCAUAUAAUAUGUGAUGGAUAGAUUAUAGGUAGGUAGGUAAGAGUGCAUACAGUUAAAUAAUUAGCCAUUUCUCAUAUUUCCUUUUAUUUCCUGGUUAAGCAGGUGACUAUAAUUGUCAUGGAAGGUAUGAAGGAGGUAGCUAUGAUUUUAUCACAUGGCUAUGGGGGAUAAUUAUGACCAUUAUUAUGCUCAAAUGUAAUUAUUGUCUCAUUUUUAUCCUUUUUGUAGUGUAAACUUAAGUAUAAAAAUAAAGAUUUAUGAAUAUGUCAGACAAAUUAUAUAAAAUGGGUGAUCACUUGGUAAGUAAUUUUUAUACCUUUGUUGUGGUCUGUGUAGAUGGAGGCUAUUUUGGCAAUAGCCAUGCACUUAGACAUAGCAUGACCAGUCCAUAUGUGGACUGCCUAUGUCUAUUAAACAUGAUUGAAUACCCAAAUUAGAUUCAAGAUUAUGAUAUGUCCCAGGCAUGGAUCCAAAAAUGACCAUGUGCUGAAGUUAUAUGGCAUGAGCCAUGUAAAAUAUGGUGGGAAACAUACAAUUGGGGCUGCAUCCCACCAUAAUGCACUAGUCAAUUGAAACCCCGACCCCCGGGAUAGGGAGGGGAAAUUAACAUUUUGACAAUGUUAAAUUUUGGACAUUUAAAUUCCUAGCUGCUACCGGGAGAAUAUUGACUGUUAAAAUUACUGUCCCUAUGGCCCCAGCACUUGGCAAAUUUUCAUGACUUGGGAAAUUUUCAUGACUUGGGAAUUAAUUGUCCUGGCUAAUAAAUUGAUUUGUUAUUUAUUACCCUGUACCCUGGGGGAAAUCUGCAUUAAGACCGUGUUAAUCCACGGCCAUUCCCCCGUUAAUUCCCCGCCCUGUCCCGGGGUUGGGGGUUUCAAUUGACUAGUGCAUGCAUAAACAUUGCAAAGGUCCAUUUUGUAAAUUAAUGGCACUAUAUGUAUUUAAUCAUAAUUUAUAGGGCCUGUGAGUUCAUAUCUGGAAUAAAAUAAUGGCAAAUCUACAGAAAUAUCACUGCUAAGGAGUGUCAAACAAAUUCAGGAGGACUGAAUUAACUGGAUGUUCUCAGGAUGAAAAAGAAAUUGCUGACUUUAAUUGAAUAAUCAUUAUCAUUAAUGUUAAAGGUUAAAAAUAUUGAACAUUCAAAAGGAUGCAGACAGAAAUUUGAAAGUAGGGCCUGAAUUUCAGGUUAAGUGAUCCAGGAAUGGGGUUGGCCCUCUGCAGGCUAAAUCAAUUGAGGGAGAUCACUUUAUUUCAAGUUAAAUGAUUAUUUGAAUAAGAUGCCAUUCAGGCAAUAAGGGCCUGGUUAGGUCCAUAUUUUAAUUCAAAUUAUUAAGUACUCGAUUUAUCCAUCAACAAAACCCAACAUUAAAAUUUCCAUCGAGUGAGAUGCAACAAAACCAUCUAUAGUUUAUUAAUUAUGUUAACCUAAUCCAUCAAUUGGCAAUGAGCCUACUUUAGUAUUUUAUAUACUCCAUCUCUAAUUUGCCCAUUAUAUUUAUAAAGUUGACAGUUAAUACUAUUACUCUUUCACAUAUUACUAAUAAAAUUCAUCUGGGCCCGGUUGUUCGAAGCCUGUGAAAGCCUUUGAACUACCGGCCCCAGAUGAUUUUAUUAGUCUGUGAAAGAUUAAUUAUUAACUGUCAGUUUAUAAAUAUAAUGGGCAAAUAUAUGAUUAUGUACAAAUUGCAUGCAUGGUUCAUAAUAUCUCUGUGAUAGACUUGCUCCAGAAGAUUCAAAUUCCAUCCUGACAAU
rnacentral:lncRNA from 1 species